CGUAACAAGGUUUCCGUAGGUGAACCUG
rnacentral:ncRNA from 8 species